AGCUGGCCUGACAGAUACUGCCUGGCUUUUGAGCCUUUGCAUUUUGUUAUUUUUGUUACCUUGAUAGGAAAUGGCAAGGCAGAUAGGAGUAGCUGAUCCUGUAGAGAAGCAUACUGAGGUGCAACCCAGUGCUUCCUCCUCUUCCCCUAACCCCCUUAUGCCUUCCUCUAUGUUAUCAAGACAGAGGACAUGCCAUUGGACUCUUGGAUGUUUUUGGUUCAGCUUUUUCUGGGGUCCAGGGGUGGGGUAUGAUCUACCACCCUCAAAGUACACCACAGAGCUAGAGGGCCCGAAAGGGUCUGCCUUUCUGAGGUCUUAGAGAGAAGGUGGGCUGGAAAGAGGUGGGGAAUCAGAGGCCAUCAGGAGGCCAGGCUGCUUUCCUCCCAGUGUAGGCUUGCCUCACAACAUGAGAGAGACUACUAGAUACAUGCAAGCAGCCGGCUCCAGGGAGGGGGUGUACCCACUGAACUAACUGUCUGAAUCCUGAGUUCAUCAUGCAGACACACAUACGUGAGUAUCUUGUCCCUACAUUUGACAGACCUAUGGAUUUAGCAUGCAAGCCAUGUUCAAAUGCCAAGGAGGAAGGCACUUGGGGCACCAGGCCAGGGCUGAAGUGAAACCAGAUUCCCUGGGUGUACCUAUUUCCUGAAUCAGCUAGCCUGGGACAAUUUAACUUCCUUCAGUUAUCUGUUGCCUGCAAGUGCCCAAGACAGUAAGGGUCCUGGGGUUCCCAUGUUGAGUAGGAAUUCAUCCCAUCUCUGGCUGCCUCCUCUGGCCCCCAUCACCUCUCCUCUUGAUAGUUGCAACAGCCUUCCUAGGCUUCUCUCUAAUCUGCCCAUGAGGAACCUUCUAGCCCACACAUUUGUCUCCAGUUCUCCGAAGCCUGUGUUGUGGAGUCUCAGCCCAAGACUGGCCCUGCUACUCCUUCAGUCUUAGGCACAGCUGCUGCCUCCGGGCCACCUCUGUCUUGGGGGUUGCCUCAGUCUCCUCCUUGUAACUGCCUGGUUUGGCAAAGUCCAUCUUCCCACCCUCAACAUAAAAUUGAUCACAAUGUCGCCCCUCUUGGCCUCUUCCUUCUCAAUGGCUCUUUCACCAUGCACCCUCAUCGCUGGGUCACUUGCCCUGUCUUGUCACUCCCAGAAAAUAACAAGCCCUGAGCACAUAGGUGCCCAGUACAGAUUCUCCCAAGGUCUUGAAGGGGUUUGGGAAAUGCCAUCCCAUCAUAUUACACCUGACUCUGCUGGCUCCUUUGAACUGAGGCCUGGGGAACAGCAAGCAGGAGAGUUUACCCAGUGAACAGUCUGGACAGCCCUAUUUUUAGUUUUCCACACAGCAUCUUGCUAUCUGGCCCAGACUGACCUGGAAGUCAUAAUCCCGCCUCUGCCUUUGUAGUGCUGAGAUUACAAAUCAGAUGUGCACCACCAUCUCUAGCUUCUGUAUAGACCAAGACAAUGUUUAAUCACUAUGGAGCUCCUCUGCUCACCUUCCCGAAAUUUGUGGCAUAUCCAUCCUUCCAUCCUAGGAGCCCAGAGCCCUUAUUUUCUGUAGCACCAAUUGUUUUGUAUUGAAAUACAGGUUUUCUCUGUUGGUUUGUUUGUUUUUGAGGUAGGGUGUCUCUACAUAACCCAGGCUAUCUUGGACCUCACUAUGUUGACCAGUUUGGCCUCAAACUCACAGAGAUUCACCUGCCUCUGCCUUUGCCUCACUAGUGUUGGCGCUAAAGGCUUGCACGGCCACACCUGGAAGAUUUUCUUCUUUGUUUGAGAUGGAGGUCCUGUGCACCUCAGGAUGGACUUAAACAUACUUUGUGGCUUACAGAAGACCUUGAACUUCUGAUCCUUCGGUUGCUACCUCUCGAGUAGAGUUGGCAGUACCAUGCCCAGCCCUGGUACUGGAGAUCGAAUCCAGAGCCUUGUCCAUGUUCAGCAAGCCCUCUACUAACUGAGAUACACCUCCAGUUUCCUCCUGUAAAAGAGAAAUGCUGGACCAGCCAAGAACUUUCAGGAGGGUGGAGAUCACUUCUAACUACAGCCACCUCUGGAGCCUGACAGUUGCCCAUGGUCCUCUCCAAUGCACUUGUCUGCCCCAAAAGGAACUUCCUGGAUGUUUUCUAACGAGGAAGAGAAGAAAGAAGAGAGGUGGUUCUUGCUGUGGUCCUUGGUUUUGUAACUGCCUGGUGACCUUUCUGAGCCCUGGAUUCUCAGCUUUGUAGAACAGGAUAAAUCACUGGCUUAAAGUUCACUCAGGUGCAGGAGCUGGCGUGAUGCACAGGGACUUGACAGCCCUGCAGCCCCCACCCUUGAAUUCUCACCCUCCUUCCUCAUCUCUCCUGUCCCCUUGGAGCUAAGCCAGCCUUGAGCCUGAUAGAGAUUUGGGCUGUGUGGGAGGCCACUAAGGAUCUCAGUCUUUGCAGAGAGCAGGCUGACGGUUACAGCUCAAUGCCCCAGCUUCCCAUGGGCCACAGGAGGCUGUCCUUCACCUGGGUCCAGUCCUCUCAUCUCGGCCUGAAAGUGGACUUGGAUUGCCCUCCCUAAGUCGACAGAGCUGGGAGGAGCCUUCACUUGGCUCCUCUCCUGCCAUCCUUCCUCCCUUGGUGACCUGGUGACCUGGGUAGUCCCAGGCAGGCUGUGGGUGGGAACUGAGACCUGCCAGGACUUGCUCAGGUGCCUGCCCGAGGGCAGGCAGCUCAGACCUGCAGGAGCCAUCUAGGACUCAAGAGCGAGACCCGCCCCUGGAAGUCCAGGCUACCCAGCUAGGCCACAGAGAGAACUGGACCAGCCAGUCCAGGAGGAGCUGCCAGGCUAAGUGGCCACAGCACUUUGCUCCAGUGCUUUGGAAGCCUGGGCCCCAGGCUCUCACUGGUUUAGGGCCUGGGAUGGGGGUCUGGCCUAUAAGGUAGUAUGGGCACACUCAGCCCUACCGAGCACACUCUAGGAGAGUAAGGUGGCACUUGGUAUAUGAGGUGUAUUUACCUCAGUGCAUGUAAAAGGGAAGGAAAAUAUCAGCUCAGUAAUGUGAUCUUGGAUUCUUAUGUGUCAUUCCUGACUACACAUGAGUUUAGGCCAGCCUGGGCUACGUGAGACCCUACCUUAAAAAAACAAAAAUAAAACCAUAAAAGUCAUGGUUUUUCUCUGUUGAUGAUGAUGACCUUCAACUAGCAAUCCUUGGCCCAGGCCAUCCUUCCCCAGCACCCCAAGGAGCUGGGGCUACAGAUGGGUACUCAUGGUUAUUUAGCCCCCUUUCUAAGAAUUUGAAGCCAGGGCCUCGUAUCUGCUAAACCCCUGUACCAAAGUGUACCCCUCCCCCAGCUAGACCCUCAGCCCUCCUGGGCUGUUUCCAAAUUCCAGGUAAUAGCAUUUCAUCCAUAAACGUCUUAGGGAAGACAUGUAAGUUGUACUAAUUCUGCUUUUAUUUGGGGGCUUACUGGAAACUGAGCCCAGGGCUUUACACAUAUUAAAUAUACUCUUAAAUUUU